CAGGGAUCAAACUCUGGACCUUGUGCUUGCGAGGCAGGAGCUGGAACCACUGAGUAACUCCUGAUCGCACACCCCGCCCCACACUUCCAGUGUCCUCUGCCCCGCAAAGGGGCCACGAAGUGCAGGCGGAGCUCACUGCGCGGGCGCCACUAACAACCGUCGUCCCGUGCUCACCCCACCACGGGCAUGCUCACGGCCUCCCGACGCGUACACCGGCACAGAGGUACAUUUACAGCGUGGGCGUGAGUGUGCAGCCGGGCC
rnacentral:lncRNA from 1 species